UGAUUCAACGAGCUAGUCAAGUAGAGGCAUACUAGUGACACUUUGUUUGUCUAUGUAUUCACACAUGUACUAAGUUUCCAGUUAAUACAAUUAUAGCAUGAAUAAUAAACAUUUUUCAUGAUAUAAGGAAAUAAAUAAUAACUUCAUUAUUGCCUCUAGGGCAUAUAUCCUUCAGAAAGUUCAAAGCACUGUUUGAUGAGCCUGUGUAGUAUUAGUUAGUUGGUCAGGUAAAGGCUGGCCAAGCCAAUGAUGCUUAGCUGGUCUUUUUGAAUGAUUAGACACACUGGGAAUGAGACAUGACCCAUACUACCAUGGGGGGUAGCAGAGGGGAAUCUUGGACAAUCGGCGAAAGCCCGAUCCAGCAAUGUCGCGUGAGUGAAGAAGGUCAAUGCUCCUUGUAAAGCUCUUAUGUCAAGUGCGUGAUCAUGACAGAACUGGAGAAAGAAGCCCCGGCUAACUCCGUGCCAGCAGCCGCGCUAAGACGAGGGGUGGGGGCAAGUACUCUUUGGAAUGACUAGGCUUAAAGGGCAGGUAGGCGGUGAAUCGGGUUGAAAGUGAAACUAUGAAAAUCAUAAAAAGUGGUGAAAUGCUCUCGAAACCAAUUCACUUAAGUGAGACAGAGGAGAGUGGAUGGUCUUCUAUUCGUCCCAAUUCACUUAAGGAAAAGAGAUUAAAGUUGAAACAGACGCUCACUUCCAUGAAUAUGUGGACACACAACCGGUGGCUCCAUGCCUGCAUGCAUGAUGCAUGCACGCAUUACGCAUGUGGUCCGUUUCCAAGCUAACCAAUGGCGCCCGACCGAUGAUACAUCUCCAAC
rnacentral:ncRNA from 1 species